CAGCAGCCGCGGGAAAACGUAGGUGGCAAGCGUUGUCCGGAAUUAUUGGGCGUAAAGCGUGCGCAGGCGGUUAUGUAAGACAGGUGUGAAAUCCCCGGGCUUAACCUGGGAACUGCGCUUGUGACUGCACAGCUAGAGUAUGGCAGAGGGGGGUGGAAUUCCACGUGUAGCAGUGAAAUGCGUAGAGAUGUGGAGGAACACCGAUGGCGAAGGCAGCCCCCUGGGCCAAUACUGACGCUCAUGCACGAAAGCGUGGGGAGCAAACAGGAUUAGAUACCCGCGUAGUCCCUGUCUCUUAUAC
rnacentral:rRNA from 1 species